rfam:Felis catus isolate Cinnamon breed Abyssinian chromosome A2, whole genome shotgun sequence.
GCCUGGGUGGCUCAGUCAGUUAAGCGUCUGACUUCGGCUCAGGUCAUGAUCUCACGGUUGGUGGGUUCGAGCCUCACAUCGGGCU